GAUGAACGCUGGCGGCGUGCUUAACACAUGCAAGUCGAACGGAAAGGCCCAAGCUUGCUUGGGUACUCGAGUGGCGAACGGGUGAGUAACACGUGGGUGAUCUGCCCUGCACUUCGGGAUAAGCCUGGGAAACUGGGUCUAAUACCGGAUAGGACGAUGGUUUGGAUGCCAUUGUGGAAAGUUUUUUCGGUGUGGGAUGAGCUCGCGGCCUAUCAGCUUGUUGGUGGGGUAAUGGCCUACCAAGGCGUCGACGGGUAGCCGGCCUGAGAGGGUGUACGGCCACAUUGGGACUGAGAUACGGCCCAGACUCCUACGGGAGGCAGCAGUGGGGAAUAUUGCACAAUGGGCGCAAGCCUGAUGCAGCGACGCCGCGUGGGGGACGACGGCCUUCGGGUUGUAAACUCCUUUCGCUAGGGACGAAGCGUUUUUGUGACGGUACCUGGAGAAGAAGCACCGGCUAACUACGUG
rnacentral:rRNA from 1 species